rnacentral:rRNA from 1 species
GCUAGCGUUGCUCGGAAUCACUGGGCGUAAAGGGUGCGUAGGCGGGUGUUUUAGUCAGGGGUGAAAUCCUGGAGCUCAACUCCAGAACUGCCUUUGAUACUGAGGAUCUUGAGUUCGGGAGAGGUGAGUGGAACUGCGAGUGUAGAGGUGAAAUUCGUAGAUAUUCGCAAGAACACCAGUGGCGAAGGCGGCUCACUGGCCCGAUACUGACGCUGAGGCACGAAAGCGUGGGGAGCAAACAGG